UAGGGAAUCUUCCGCAAUGGGCGAAAGCCUGACGGAGCAACGCCGCGUGAGUGAUGAAGGUCUUCGGAUCGUAAAACUCUGUUAUUAGGGAAGAACAAAUGUGUAAGUAACUAUGCACGUCUUGACGGUACCUAAUCAGAAAGCCACGGCUAACUACGUGCCAGCAGCCGCGGUAAUACGUAGGUGGCAAGCGUUAUCCGGAAUUAUUGGGCGUAAAGCGCGCGUAGGCGGUUUUUUAAGUCUGAUGUGAAAGCCCACGGCUCAACCGUGGGGGGUCAUUGGAAACUGGGAAGCUUGAGUGCAGAAGAGGAAAGUGGAAUUCCAUGUGUAGCGGUGAAAUGCGCAGAGAUAUGGAGGAACACCAGUGGCGAAGGCGACUUACUGGUCUGUAACUGAAGCUGAUGUGCGAAAGCGUGGGGAUCAAACAGG
rnacentral:rRNA from 1 species